GGAAGACCCUGGGCAUGCCCAUGAUGGCCAGUACAGCAAGACCCAUGGGACUGCUCAUGCUUUGAAGCCAAAGACUUCACUCCAAGAGCAUACUACGUUGCGAGCAAUACCAACUCAGAGUGCCCUGAGGAGGUCGAGGCGUUGUCGCAAACUCAGAGAGCAUAACCUUACGCUGUCGUGUGUGGUGUUGCGGUGGAUGGACUCCGUUGCGCGCCGUGGGUUGCUUUGGCUCUUGGGGAUGCGAGGCAGCAGCAUCAACAAGAGGCAAGUGGAGU